CGCGUAGGCGGUUUGGACAGUUAGGCGUGAAAUUCCUGGGCUCAACCUGGGGACUGCGCUUAAUACAUCCAGACUUGAGUGUGGAAGAGGGUUGUGGAAUUCCCAGUGUAGAGGUGAAAUUCGUAGAUAUUGGGAAGAACACCGGUGGCGAAGGCGGCAACCUGGUCCAUGACUGACGCUGAGGCGCGAAAGCGUGGGGAGCAAACA
rnacentral:rRNA from 1 species